rnacentral:rRNA from 1 species
AACCCUUGUCUUUAGUUGCCAUCAUUAAGUUGGGCACUCUAAAGAGACUGCCGGUGUCAAACCGGAGGAAGGUGGGGAUGACGUCAAGUCCUCAUGGCCUUUAUGACCAGGGCUACACACGUACUACAAUGGCAGGUACAAAGGGCAGCCACUUAGCGAUAAGGCGCGAAUCCCGUAAAACCUGUCUCAGUCCGGAUUGGAGUCUGCAACUCGACUCCAUGAAGUUGGAAUCGCUAGUAAUCGCAGAUCAGCACGCUGCGGUCGAAUACGUUCCCGGGCCUU